GGAUGUGAGGUCGAUCUGGCUGUAAUAUCUGCCACCCCACCCCACUGAUAACCGGGGUUGCAUAGGCAGAUCUGGCUGGCUAGGCAAGUGGAUCCUUCCUCCCUCAUGGCCCAGUGGGCUUCCCUCCUGAGGCUGCGUGCUCAGUUAAGAGGACAGAUUGGUAGUCAAGCUUCCAAGAGCCAGACAUAUUAAAAAAAAAAAAAAAAUCAAAGCAAUAAGGAAAAAACAAAACCCAGCUGCAUAGGAAGAUAGUGGCACAACUACUCACAGAAGAAUUAUUUCAAGUUACUUUUUAAAAGUCACACACACACACAAAAAGAUAUUUUAAACUGCUUU
rnacentral:snRNA from 1 species